rnacentral:misc_RNA from 1 species
UUCCUGAUUUUCCCAUCGUUCGGGGCAUUCUGGGGCUGUUUUGGCUAUUGGUUNCUUGUUUGGUCUUGAGCCGAACGGGUGGCUUCUAGCCUGGUGGCUUCGGGGAUGUUGACCGUAAAGGUGGAUGAGUGGUGUUUGGUUUGUUACGUGUGGUUGGCUGCGGCGUUUGCAACAACUUCCAUGCUUUCAGACCUCUUCAUUUGUGCGGCAAGGCUUGUAUCGCCUUCAGCGUAUUGUGGGUUUUCUGUGUUGAAUACCUAAUCAAUGGUAUCGGUUGGAUUGAUCAAUGUUUCAUUUCGUCUGUCGUUGCAUUCGCGGCGUGAGAUGAACCUUUAUGCGGUCUCUUUGAUCCACCUCGUUGAAGCGCAUGCUUUGACGUUGUGGCGCAUUGAGCAUUGCUUGGUCUCUUGUAUGCGGAACAUGUAGUGGGCAUGAAUCUCACGAUUCUCGUUUGCCCUCAUAUUAGCRUAACGCUUCUCUUACACGACUUGCUCCACGUUUUAGCUCG